GGCAGUCUGAUCGGGCUGGCAGGAGGGAAAGGCAUGACUUACUGUAGCUCUUGGCCCAGGCCACCGAACACUCAGUACCUUGUACCCCGUUAGCCUUGGGCAGUAAACCCUCUGAUAAAAUGUU
rnacentral:lncRNA from 1 species